rnacentral:rRNA from 1 species
UGGGGAAUAUUGCGCAAUGGGGGGAACCCUGACGCAGCAACGCCGCGUGAAGGAAGAAGGUCUUCGGAUUGUAAACUUUUUUGAUCAGGGAAGAGAGAGGACAGUACCUGAAGAACAAGCCACGGCUAACUACGUGCCAGCAGCCGCGGUAAUACGUAGGUGGCAAGCGUUGUCCGGAAUUACUGGGUGUAAAGGGCGAGUAGGCGGGAAUAGAAGUCAUGUGUGAAAUGCCGUAAGAAGAGUACGGAAGUGCAUGUGAAACUAGAUUUCUUGAGUGCUGGAGAGGAAAGCGGAAUUCCUAGUGUAGCGGUGAAAUGCGUAGAUAUUAGGAGGAACACCAGUGGCGAAGGCGGCUUUCUGGCCAGUUACUGACGCUGAGGAGCGAAAGCGUGGGGAGCAAACAGG